rnacentral:rRNA from 1 species
GAUGAACGCUGGCUACAGGCUUAACACAUGCAAGUCGAGGGGAAACGACGUGGAAGCUUGCUUCCCCGGGCGUCGACCGGCGCACGGGUGAGUAACGCGUAUCCAACCUGCCUCUGACUGAGGGAUAACCCGUCGAAAGUCCGCCUAAUACCCCAUCGUAUCGUCUGCGGGCAUCCAACGACGAUUAAAGAUUUCAUCGUUCAUGGAUGGGGAUGCGUCUGAUUAGCUUGUUGGCGGGGUAACGGCCCACCAAGGCUACGAUCAGUAGGGGUUCUGAGAGGAAGGUCCCCCACAUUGGAACUGAGACACGGUCCAAACUCCUACGGGAGGCAGGAGUGAGGAAUAUUGGGCAAUGGGCGAGAGCCUGAACCAGCCAAGUAGCGUGCAGGAAGACGGCGCUAUGGGUUGUAAACUGCUUUUAUGCGGAGAUAAAGUGAGGGACGUGUCCCUCAUUGCAGGUACCGAAUGAAUAAGGACCGGCUAAUUCCGUG